AGCGUUAAUCGGAAUUACUGGGCGUAAAGCGCACGCAGGCGGUCUGUCAAGUCGGAUGUGAAAUCCCCGGGCUCAACCUGGGAACUGCAUUCGAAACUGGCAGGCUUGAGUCUUGUAGAGGGGGGUAGAAUUCCAGGUGUAGCGGUGAAAUGCGUAGAGAUCUGGAGGAAUACCGGUGGCGAAGGCGGCCCCCUGGACAAAGACUGACGCUCAGGUGCGAAAGCGUGGGGAGCAAACAGGAUUAGAUACCCUGGUAGUCCACGCCGUAAACGAUGUCUACUUGGAGGUUGUGCCCUUGAGGCGUGGCUUCCGGAGCUAACGCGUUAAGUAGACCGCCUGGGGAGUACGGCCGCAAGGUUAAAACUCAAAUGAAUUGACGGGGGCCCGCACAAGCGGUGGAGCAUGUGGUUUAAUUCGAUGCAACGCGAAGAACCUUACCUGGUCUUGACAUC
rnacentral:rRNA from 1 species